AUUGAACGCUGGCGGCAGGCCUAACACAUGCAAGUCGAGCGGAGCGGCGGACGGGUGAGUAAUGCCUAGGAAUGUGCAUGGUAGUGGGGGAUAACGUCCGGAAACGGGCGCUAAUACCGCAUCCUAUCAGAUGAGGCUAGGUCGGAUUAGCUAGUUUGUGGGGUAAGGGCAUACCAAGGCGAAGAUCCGUAACUGGUCUGAGAGGAUGAUCAGUCACACUGGAACUGAGACACGUUCCAGACUCCUACGGGAGGCAGCAGGGGUGAAUAUUGGACAAUGGGCGCAAGCCUGAUCCAGCCAUGCCGCGUGUGUGAAGAAUGUCUUCGGAUUGUAAAGCACUUUCAGCGGGGAGGCGUUACCAUCAGAAGAAGCACCGGCUAACUCCGUGCCAGCAGCCGCGGUAAUUC
rnacentral:rRNA from 1 species